rnacentral:sRNA from 1 species
UCCUAUUUGAUAUGGUCUUGUGAAUGGC